GAAUAUUGGACAAUGGGCGCAAGCCUGAUCCAGCCAUGCCGCGUGUGUGAAGAAGGCCUUCGGGUUGUAAAGCACUUUUGUACGGGAAGAAAAGCUUUCGGUUAAUACCCGGAAGUCAUGACGGUACCGUAAGAAUAAGCACCGGCUAACUUCGUGCCAGCAGCCGCGGUAAUACGAAGGGUGCAAGCGUUACUCGGAAUUACUGGGCGUAAAGCGUGCGUAGGUGGUUUGUUAAGUCUGAUGUGAAAGCCCUGGGCUCAACCUGGGAAUGGCAUUGGAUACUGGCAGUCUAGAGUGCGGUAGAGGGUAGCGGAAUUCCCGGUGUAGCAGUGAAAUGCGUAGAUAUCGGGAGGAACAUCCGUGGCGAAGGCGGCUACCUGGACCAGCACUGACACUGAGGCACGAAAGCGUGGGGAGCAAACAG
rnacentral:rRNA from 1 species